UUAACUGAAAUAAAAUAUACCACGAAAGUGGCUUUAGUAUCUAGAAGACACAAUAGCUAAGACUCAAACUGGGAUUAGAUACCCCACUAUGCUUAGCCCUAAACUCUAGUGGUUACAUAAACAAAACAAUUCCUCAGAAUACUACAAGCAACAGCUUAAAACUCAAAGGACUUGGCGGUGCUUUGUAUCCCUCUAGAGGAGCCUGUUCUAUAAUCGAUAAACCCCGAAACACCUCACCACCUCUUGCCCCCAGCCUAUAUACCGCCAUCUUCAGCAAACCCUAAAAAGGUUGUGGAGUAAGCACAAGUAUACACAUAAAAACAUAAAACGUAAAAACAUAUGUUAGUGUGCCUCAUGAGGUGGCAAGAAAUGGGCUACAUUUUCUAUAUCCAGAAAAUAUCACGACAACGUUUAUGAAACCUAAGGGCUCAAGGAGGAUGUAGCAGUAAACCCAGAGCAGAGUGCUUGGUUGACUAAGGCCAUGAAGCAUGCACGCACUGCCCAUCACCCUCCUCAUAUACUAUUCUAGAGAUUACUAUUGCUAAAAACUUUCUACACACGUACAGAGGGGAUAAGUCAUAACACAGUAAGCGUACUGGAAAGUAUAUUUGGCAAAAAUAAAGU
rnacentral:ncRNA from 1 species